ACACAAAAAAUAACACAGUAUACAGUAAGUUUCGUCUUUCACAUUUAAAAAAUAAUAAUAAUAGCAUGUUUGUUUGCAUGCUACCAUGAUCAAAACACAAAAAUGAAGUGAAAGUAUGCAAAGGUUUUCCACCUGAUACAAAUUUCUCCUACGAAUGUGCAGAAUCAGAUGUCUAGAUUCUCAGAGUUCUUCAUCUGGUGCUGUCUCGAUGGUUUUGGUUAUUGUGUCAUCUAGCUAGAUUCAAAAAAAGAAUAGAAUGCAAAGCAUGUUAUACAUUUGGACUCCAAAUUUUUAGCAACUUAAAAGAAUGCUAAGCAUGUUGUCCAACCUUCCAGUACUCACAAGGAUCCUGAGUAAAAAUGAAAUCAGACCUCACCACUUAAGAUAAGACGCCUACACAACUAAUUACAAAAACGAAAAAGAUGAGAAAAAAUAACAAUGUAAAAAAACACUAAAAGAACUAAACAUGUACUUCGCAAGUAAAUGAAAUAGAUGAUACUAACAGUCUUUAGCACGAUAGCAGAUCUCAUCACCCAAAACUCGCAUAGUCUCCAUGAACCUGCAGGUGGCGUAGCAUGUAUAUUAAGUUUCACUUACUUAUCCACAUCAAUUACAUUCUGACCAUUUGCAACAAUAUCAUAUAAGAAUUGCUUCUCCUUUGCACUCUUCAAAGUAAGCACAAAAUAGUGUAUGUGUUAGAUAAAGCAAAGAAACAAAGAAUGUCUGUACUUCAUAUUGGAGCAAAAUAUAAAAAAUCCAGUGAUCAACAUGUGCCUACACUUAAAAUAUAAAAAAACCAAUGAUCAACCAAAAUUAAACUAUUCAUCAAAAUGAUUGCAAUUAACUGAGUUAAAACAUGAUUUUUUUUUCUUUUCUUGCAAAUAUCUAAAGUUUUUUAUACCUUCCCAAAUGGUGAAACAAGCUGGUGAAGUGCUGUAAUUCUGUCUCCUAAUUUUUCUUUCCUCACCUGCCAUAUAACAUAUAUAUAUGUAUAUAUAUACAAGUCAGAAAAAAAAAAGUAGGUGAUUAAUUUACUAUUUUACUUUCACUUAAACUAUAUUCUCUUUUUCAUACAUUAAUCUGUAAAACGAAGACUCCCCCAAAUUACUUCAGAUGUCUCUCUUAAAUUCUAUUUAAAAAAAUUAAAAAUCUAUAAAAAAAAUCAAUUACUAUAAAAAAAGAAGAGAUAAGUGUGAAUUAAAAAUAUAAUCCCAAAUACUGAUUCGAAUCAGCUGAUUUUUAACCUGAGAACAGCUGAUUUUUUCUCUUCCAGCAACCUGCACAACUCGACCUUUAACCCUACAACUUGCAUGUGAAUGUUUAUAAUAAAUUAAAGAGUAAAACAUCACAAAAGAGGCCAACAAAAUUUUCAUGCAUGAACUUAAGGCAAGCAAAUAUACAUUUUGAGUAAGAAGUGGCCUAUUAUCUAUUCAACUUGCCAAACAUUAGUUUGGCCUGUAAUGAAAUAUUGUAUUCAUCAAAAGGAAAAAUUAUAUACUACCUGCUGUUGAAGAUCUGGAACAAAAUCCGACUAAGCAUCUCUUGUCAGACAGAGAAGAUUUUCAUCCGCAUUCAUUGAUUCGGACUUGGAACGUGAAAGAUCUCCAUUAGUUUUUGAAUCAACCAACUCUACUGUCUUAUUUGUUGAAGAUCUGCACUAUUUGUUGUUCAUGCUAUAUAAUUUACUUGCUCGACCAAAUUAAAGAAUAUUUAUAAAUAACAAAUUUGAAAUUUUACCAAAUAGUAUCUAAAAGUUAUAAAGCAAAAUUCUAUUUUGUCAAUAACCCAAAACCUAAAUAGAAAAAGCAAAAAGCAAAUCAAAGUGAAUUAUUAUGAAUAAUCUAAUAAUAUUAAAUAAAUUUAAAAUUUGAAUAUUAAAGUUUAAGAAAAUGGUUGAGAUGAAAAAAAAAUGAAGGUUGAGUAGAAACUUGAAAUUUUAUACAAAAGUAAUGUUUUAUUGAAAAUUCAAGUAAUCUAAAUUCUACAAUGCUUCUACUCUUAACUGUUUUGACACUAUUUUUUUUUAUAUUAGUAUACCUUUAUAUGUAUUUUUAUAGUGUUGGAAAAUUAAUAUAUUAUUUCCAAAAUUUCAACUUAAAUUUUAAUAUGUUUUAUUGUUGCACACUGUCUCCAAAUAACUUUUAAUUUACCCUGAUUUUAAAUAAUAAUAAAAAAACAAAACUGAAAAUAUAAAACCUGCCUUUUACAACAAACAUCCCAAAAAGAAGGACAACAAAGAAAAAAGACAAUUUAGAAAAAUAUUAGUUUUCUUACUCCAAUUUUAUAAACUAUAUUUCAUAAAUCCACAGUGCUAAAAAAGAUUUUAUAUUUUAAAAAAUAAAUGAUUUAUAAAUAAAAUUAUUAAAAACACGAAUAUAUUUUAAGAUGUGGUUUUAUCAAACUAAAGUAGAACAGAUUCGUUUUAUGUUAACUUUUCCUAAUAAAAACAAUAAAUUGUCUCUUUUCGGAAAAGAGGAAAAAAUGACCUUUUAUUCAGAUAAUUAUUCUUUAAAACAUAAAUUAUUGAGAUAAAUCAACAUUUAAUCCCUGAAUUUGAUAAAAAAAUUCAAAUUAGUCUUAAUCUUUUUUUUAAUCCACAUUAACUUUUAAAUUUCACAAGUAAUUGCCAUGCACAAACAUGGUACAGUCACUGCUAGGAUACACAUCAACCAUGGUAAAGCAAGCUUCCAUCAUUACUAUUUAUAUCAAGUAGAACGAACUUACAAUUGCCUGGUGCAGAUCAUUUUUGCUACUUUGGUCAGAAAUGUGCAGUUGCCCAAACACCUUUUUCCAUUGUGCAUUGGCUCAGACUUUAUGGAAAGUGAUAAAUAGUAAGCAUUUGAUCUGUUAAAGAAUCUUGCAGACUGCAAAUACCACAUCAGAAAAUUGCUAGUUGAAAUAUAAACAAGGGAGAUCCAUGAGUUACAAAGAGAACAAUAGGAUGGCCUUUUUAGACUCUAAAAGGGUGAUGUUAAGAACUUAAACAGAUUCCAUCACCUUUUACAAACUAUGAUUCGCCAUUCAUAUUUCUCUACUUCCAUGAUUUCCAACUAGGAAUUACUAGCAAUAAAUAUUGUUACCUACAUCAACAAAGCUGGAACUGUUUCAUGAUUCAUUUGCUCCCUAAAUAGACUAGAGUCAGAGUCAGUCCAACUGCUAUGUCUCAUACACCAUCCUGCAUGAGUUAUAAUCUGAUGAAGUGACCUAUACACCAUCCUGCAUGAGUUAUAAGCAGCAUACUGAAAUUAAUACAAUUGACCACUUCCAACUAAAAUAUAACAUUCUAAUAGAAAUUUGUAGUCUAAAAUUAUUACACAAAGCAUAGACAACAGCAGAAUUCUCGGUAUACCUCAUUUAAGUCUUCCAUUUGAAGUACUUUUUGUACAUCAACAGUAUAUAGAUUGUCUACUUCAGCGGAUUCUCCAAACCUCUCCUUCCAUACUGAAUCAAACCGCUGAUGAAGAAACAUUCAAUUUAAAAUUCAUAUAAAAUUGAUUUAUCAGACCCUAAUCUAACAGCAGAGAGAUGAAAAAUGAGCAAUCAUAUAACUGCUUAGCACAUUGUAUGAAUAAACACAAACCCUCUAACCUUAGAUCCCUACUUCUGAGAUACAUGCGAAGAAGGCAAUGUUCAAUUUAAAUCCCAAAUCAGACGGUUUAGGUUCAGAGAAAAUUGAAGAUAGACAAGAGAGGAAGGGGUGGACGCUUUAACCGUUUACGGAAUACGGAUGUAAACAUAAACUGCUGCCCGACAACCACCAUCUUCAAUGCUAAAAAUCGCUAAACAUUUACCUCUAAAAUUUAUCAUUCUAUCCGGGAUUCAUAGGCAAAACACCAACAAUAUUUGGAACUUGCGCAAUACCAAAAAUGAGAAAAAAGGAAAACUUGAGGAUAAUUUGAAGGAGGGUUUGGGUUUUGCUUGAAGGAAUUUGGGUUUUGGAGGGAAGGGUGGAAGGGGAAAGUGUGUCGACAAGGAUGCAGAGGGCUGCCGAUUUGGGGAAAUUAGGGGGCGAAAUAAAGGGAAUCGGGGUAGGGGAGAAAUGGCUUGGGAAAAAUAAAAUAGGGGAAAAAGAAGAAGAGAUUUCUAGGGAUGGGGGGAAUCGAUUUUGGGAAAAAGAAGGGGAAAAAGAAGAAUAUUUCAUUUGAAAUUUUGGGCUAAAAAAAUAUAUAAACACAAAAAAAAUAUUAGUGGCGUUUGGCAGAAAAACGCCACUAUUGCUCUCUUUUUUGCGGCCCUGCUUCUUACCUUUUGUGGUGUUUUUUUAUAAAUGCUGCUAACACUCUACUUUUUUACAAUUUUUAAAUUAAAUUAUUGUAUCUUUCAUAUAAAUUUUAAUUAAAUAAUUUUUAAAUUUUAAGUAAUAUUUAAAAGAACUAGAUAAAAUAAUAAUUUUUAAUUUUUGUAUUUCAUUUUUAUUUGUUAUAAUUUGGUCCUAUCCAAAAUAGAUAGUUACUUAUCCAUAUCAAUCUGUUACUUUUAUUUACAAAUAAUUUAAACUAUAAUCAUAAUUUUAAUAUAUUAAAAUUAAUAUUAUCUCUUUUACAAUUAUAUAAGAAAUUAUUUAAUAUAUAAAUUAAAAAAUACCGAUUAAUCUAAACCCUAAACCCCUAGCCCCUAUAUCAUAAGCCCUAAAUUAUAAAACAUUAACCAUAAAACCAUAACCCCUAACCCCUCUUUUACAAUUAUAUAAGAACUUAAUUAAUAUAUAAAUUAAAAAAUACUAAUUAAUCUAAACAUUAAACCUUAAUUCGGCCUCGAAUCUCUAAACCCUAAAUCACUAACUCUUACCCUAUAACCUCUAACCCUUAACCCCUAACCACUAAAUAAUCUAAACCCUAAACUCUAACCCGAAUCCCUAACUCCUAACCACUAACCCCUAAACCUUAUUUAAUAUAAAUUAAAAUACACUAAUUAAUCUAAACCCUAAACCCUAACCUGACACUGAAUCUAUAAACCCCAAAUCCCUGACUCUUAAUCUCUAACCCCCUAACCCCUAAAUCACAACACUUAAACCAAAACCCCUAAUCCAUAAUUCCUAAUUCCAUAAUCUAUAAAUCUUAAAAUUGUAACUCCUAAACCGGCCUUAAAUCCUAAAUUAACCAUAUGCCCUAAACCAUAAACCCUAAAAAAUAUAUAUUAAACCCUAAAGUAUAAUAAUAAUUAAUUAAAUAUUUUAAAAUUAAUACUAUCGUAUCUUUUACAAUUGUAUAUGAAAUUAUUUAAUACAUAAAUUAAAAAUCAAUCAGUCAUGUACCCAACAAAUUUUAAAAUUAUGGCUUAAUAAUAGUAUUUUAAUUUUUCUAUUUUUAACAAAUAUUUUUCUAUGUUUUUUAUUUCAAUUUAUUUCUACGUGUCAUUAUUUCAAAUUAAUCCAUUUUUAACAAAUAUUCAAUUAAAAAUAAAUUGAAUUUUAAUUAAUAAAAACAAACAAAUUAAAUAGUAAUUAGACAUAUAAAAUGUUUUUGCGGCGCUUAUCCAAAAACGCCGCUAAAUCCCUGAGCAUUAGCGGCGCUUUUCCAAAAACGCCGCUAAAGCCCCGAAAGGUCAAAAAACGAUGCCGUUGGGCUUAGGUUUUUUGCGGCGUUUUUCCAUAAAACGCCGCUAAUGCUCAUUUUUAGCGGCGCUUUACUUAAAGUGCCGCUAAUGCUCAAUCUUUAGCGGCGUGUUAUGUAAAGCGCCGCUAAUGCUCGAUUUUUAGUGGCGUUUUUUUAUCCAAACGCCACUAAAAAUGCCGCUAAAAGCCUGUUUUGGUGUAGUGAAAUAAUUUAAUUAUAUAUCCUGUUAUUUACCCACAAUAUUGGUUAAGUUCUAUAGGUCGAAUUCUCUUGUCUUGAGGGCUUCGAUUUGACUUUAAUCUAUUAUGUUUUAGCAGUUAUGAGUACCAUGUGGAUUUGAAAUGUUGACAUGAUAAACUUGGUGUAAUAUGUGAAAUUAUUACUUGAAGUAUCUAGAAUAAAAGCAUUAAUUGGAAUGAGCAAAAAGAACCCAAGGAAGCUGGAAAGUGACUCCAACUGCAAAAUUUGGUUCGGGUUAUAGUUAAACAAAUUUGGUUUUUGGUUCAGAAGUUUAAAACCGCAAUUAUUCAAACUAACCAAAACCUAUUUCUUAUUUAAUUUAUAGUCAGUUUCUUAUUUUUUGAGAGUAUAAAAUUAAUAAUUUAUGACUAAAUUAUUGAAAAAUACUAUAUAAAAAAAGUAUUUUAAAUUUUAAAAAUACCAGUAACUGAACUGUUAGAAAAACCAGAUUAUUUCUAAUUAAUUGCAUUUUUUUUACAAAAUCGAACUGAUAUGUAUUAUACAGACUUCUCAUCCUUGAGUAUCAAGGCCUCCUUUUUCUGACCUUCUAAUAGAUCUAGCUAGAGGUUAAUGAUUUUAUUGCUCUUGAAUCAAAUGGUAAUAUAGGAAAUUGGGGGAGCUAGGGUGAUAGGAACAGGGAGAUUUAGUAGAAAAAUUUGAAUUUUAAUCAGACUUAGGUAUUGUCUUCCUAUCUAGGCAUAUGAACCGUGGGAGGGGGAGAAUAAAAUGCAGGUGUGGGUUCAAAAGCUUCAGCUUUAAACUCAAGUAGAUGAAUUCCGUAAUGAUUUCAACUCAACAAAUAUUCAAAAAAUUUGUAAUUAACAUCGACAGAAUAAACAAAUUUUUAAUCGCAAUUUGUAAUUAACAUCGACAGAAUAAACAAAAAAUAUUCAACAAAUUUGUAAUUAAUCAUGUUAAAAAUAUGCGCAAAUUGCCCAUUCCCAAUCGAUUCAUCGAAUCCAUAAAUUUCCAUGACAGAAUCAGUUUAAUCAAAACCCUAAACCCAAAAAAACAAAACCCUAAAAUUUUAAUCGGUCAUCGACAGAAAUGGCUUACCUGGGAUACAAAUCUCGCAGCUUUGCCCAACAAUGGUGCAAAGAUCGAUGUUCUCUCUUCUGUUGAUUCCUGAGAUGUCGGCUCCUCUUAUUUUCUUGCUAAUUUUUUUUCUUCCCUGUGGAAUCGCUGCUGUGCCUCUGCUAAUUAAGUUUCUUCAGAUAAUCGUAAAGGAGACGGAGGGGAGGGAUUAAGUCAAAAUGUCCUCUUAGGAAACGGCACCGUUUAAGGUAAUUUUAAGUCUCGUUUGCAGCGUUUUUAAAACAAACGCCUCUAUUGUAUUCUCAUUUGCGGCGUUUUAUACAGAAACGCCACUAAUAUUUUAAAGCACGUAAAGAAAUGGCGCCGUUUUUCCAAAUUUUAAAUUUUAUCCAUAAACUGAAACGACGUCGUAUCAAACCAGCUUGGAAUUUUUUUUGUGGCGUUUUUUAUAAAAACGCCGGUAAUGUCCACCUUUAGCGGCGUUUUUGGCAAAACCGCCAGUAAAAAAUUUAAAUUCUUUUAACAAAACGGUGCCGUUUUGGGAAAUUUGUAUAUAUUAGCGGCGUUUUUUCUAAAAACGCCACUAAAUUUCACAUUAUUUAUUUAUUUAUUGUAUUUUCAUUAAAAUUUUUAGUAAAUAAUUAUUAAAGUUUUAAGUAAUCUUUAAAAGUUUUUGAUAAAAUUAUAAAUUUUUGUUUUUUAUUUCCUUUUUAUUUUUUCUUAUAUUUUGGUCCUGUCCAAAUUAAAUAAUUAAUCAUAUAUAUAUUCAUAUAAAAAUAUCAAAUUGUUAAGGUUUAAUAUUUUUCAGACAAUUUAGUAUUAAUUAAUUGUAUCAUUUAACAAGUCUCAAAUAAACCUUAAUAUCCUAAUUUAACCAUUAAUAUAUAAGCGGUCAAUAUAUAAAUUAAUAUAUUUUAGUAAUAUAUACUCAUAAUUUAAAUAUAUUUAUUUUAUUAUUAAGAACAUAUUUAAUAUAUAAAUUAAUAAAACUAAUUAAUCUGAGCUUAAACCUUAAUCUGAUCUACCUUAAAUCACUAACUCUUAACCCUAAGUACCCCAAACCCCACCCCUAAACCCUAAACACUAUUUAAUAUAUAAUUUAAAAAAUACUAAUUAAUCUAAAUCCUAAACCCUAACUCGACCACGAAUCACUAACCCCCAACCCCUAAACAUUAUUUAAUAUAUAAAUUUAAAAAAUACUAAUUAAUCUAAAUCCUAAACCCUAACUCGACCCCGAAUCACUAACCCCUAAACAUUAUUUAAUAUAUAAAUAAAAAACACUAAUUAAUCUAAAUCCUAAACCCCUAGCUAACCCUAAAUCCCUAACCCCUAAACAUUAUUUAAUAUUAUAUAAUUUAAAAUAUAUUAAUUAGUCUAAACACUAAACUCUAACCUAACACCGAAUCCAUAAACCCUAAACUUCUAACCUUUAACCUCUAACCCCUAACCCCUAAUUAACCAAUAAACCCCAUUUCCAUAAUCUAAACCUUAAAAUUGUAACUCUUAAAUUAACCAGCCCUAAAUCCUAAAUUAACCAUAUAUAUACGUUACCCUAAACUAUAAUGAUAAUUAAAUUAAAUAUUUUAAAAUUAAUACUAUCGUAUCUUUUAAAAUUAUAUUUGAAAUUAUUUAAUAUAUAAAUUAAAAAUCAAUCAAUUAUGUACCCAAAAAUUUUUAAAAUUAUUUUAAUUAAAUUAUAGUAUUUUAAUUUCUCCAUUUUUAACAAAUAUUUUUCUAUGUUUUUUUUAUUUCAAAUUAUAUCUACGUGUCAUUAUUUCAAAUUUAUUCAUUUUUAACAAAUAUUCAAUUAAAAAUAAAUUGGAUUUUAAUUAAUAUAAAUAAACAAAUUACAUAGCAAAUAUAUAGAUAAAAUGUUUUUGCGGCGCUUUAUAAAAAACACCGCUAAAGGCAUCAGCAUUAGCGGCGCUUAUUCAGAAACGCCGCUAAAGACCCCAAAAACUCAGAAAACGGUGCCGUUGGGCUUAAGCUUUUGCGGCGCAUUUAAAAAAACGCCGCUAAAGACCUGAGCAUUAGCGGCGCUUUACAUAAAACGCCACUAAAGACCCCAAAAACUUAGAAAACGGUGCCGUUGGGUUUAGGCUUUUUGCGGCGCUUUUGAAAAAACGCAGCUAAAGACCUUAGCAUUAGCGGCGCUUUAUAGAUGUGCCGCUAAAGACCCCCAAAAACUCAGAAAAUGGUGCCGUUGGGCUUAGGCUUUUUGCGGCGCAUUUAAAAAAAGCCGCUAAAGACCUGAACAUUAGCGGCGCUUUACAUAAACGCCGCGAAAGACCCCGAAAACUCAGAAAACGGUGCCGUUGAGCUUAGGCUUUGCGCUUUAAAAAAACGCCGCUAAAGAUAUGAGCAUUAGCGACACUUUACAUAAAACGCCACUAAAGACCCCAAAACUCAGAAAACGGUGCCGUUGGAUUUAGACUUUUUGCGGUGCUUUUAAAACAACGCCACUAAAGACCUGAGUAUUAGCAGCGCUUUUACAGAAACGCCGCUAAAGACCCCAAAAACUCAGAAAACGGUGCCGUUUGUCUUUGUCUUUCUGCGGCGCUUUUAUAAAAACGCCGCUAAUGCUUAUUUUUAGCGGCGUUUGUUACAAAUCGCCGCUAAUAAUUGACCUUCAGCGGCGUUUUUAUAGAAAUGCCGCUACAGCUUGAUUUUUAGUGGCGUUUUCUGUCUAAACGCCGCUAGAAGCGCCGCUAAAAGCCUGUUUUGGUGUAGUGUAGAAUCAUUAUUCCGGAUAAUAUAUUUAAUUCUUAGAGAAUAAAAGUCUCUCUAUUUUUGGGCAGAAUAACAAUAUCUAAAAGUUGUGUUAAUACCCUUAAUGUUGCUAUCUAUUUAUAAGGAGAGAAGGUAGAACCCUUAUGCAAUUGUAGAAGUUUAUUUCAACUAGAAAAAUAAACUCAUAGUCUAACUAGAAAAAUAGGCGGCAGCAACCCUAACUAUUUUUAGUCAUCCACCCCUUUUUACAUAAAGGGCUUUAUUACAAGUACUUCCCGGGCUUUUAACCCAAGACUUUAUAAUUUAAUCCAACUCAAUAUUUGUAUUUCUAUUUCCCAAAAUAAACUUCAAUAUUUCCAAUUGAAUAAUUUUUUCAACUCAAUUUUAAUUCCAUUAAAAUCAUGAAGACUUUAACGUAAAAGAAUCUAUGAUAAAAUAUAUUUAAUAUUUUCGUAUUCAACGGUUCACUAUGACCAAAUGAUUUAUUUCUAUUUUCGAACUUCAUUUAAUUCGAAAAACAUAAAUUCAUUUUUCAGGUCAUCUUCAUUUUUCAUUUUCAUUUUCAUUUUCAUUUUGGAGAAAACCACAUUAAUUUCCAAAUGAUUUCAUUUUUUCAUUUUCAUUUUCAUUUUCAUUUUGGAGAAAACUAUAAUCAUUUUCAAAUGAUUUCCCAUUUCUCCAUUUUCACCAUUUCUAUUAAUUUCUGUUCAUUUGAUUCAACAUGCAAUUCAUUUCUGGUUUCAACAAGCUAGUGGAGGGACCGGUUGGACAUAUGCAAUUGAGGCUUAAAUGAUUUAUAAGUUCCAGCUUUUCGCCUAUUAAUUAUAAGCUCAUUUAGUCACGAAGUCAUUCCACUAUAGUAUCGGGACUGAGCUCUCCCUAAUAGCAUACCAUUACGAAAGAAACUCGAUCAGUGCUCGUCCAAUGACCUUGUCAUAAGUGUGUUGCCCUCAUAGGAUAUCCGUAAUAUUUUUGGGAUAAUAUCCAUUCUCCCAAUAUGAUCUUAUUUUAUCUCAUGGUAAACAUUACAUCUUCCUUAAUGAAAAGACAAUUACUAUCAAAUAGUAAUCAAGUCAUUCAUCACAAAAGACGAACAACUCGUGGCCACAUUUACUUUUCAUCAACCAUGUAAUGCCAAUGAGAGGAUAUCAUUUACCCAUGUCUCAAGCUAUGAAUUCCACUGCUGUGAAUAAUGCUACCUACUGCAGAAGUCAUACACCCAACACACCAACUUUCGGUUCCUUAUUUAUUCGAAUUCAGGCUUUUACUUACAUCAAAGUGUACGAGUCACACAUACAUAGUUUGUCAUCCACUCAGGAUUUAGGUACGCCACACUAUGAACGUCACAAGUGAAUAAAUCUAUAAAUGAAUUCAGGAUCUAUUCUUCUUAGGUCCAGUCUGAUGUACUGUCAAUCCAGUCAAUCAUAUCUAUGUCUCUAUCUUCUGAGAGUCGUUCGCUCCAAUGCCCAAGAUGAGGCAUCUCCCAACUAGACUUGAUAGAUGAUAUAUUAGUCUUUCAAUCGAUUUUCUAAUUUUCGAUUAGACUAGGGACAUGUUUAGGUUCGUGUACUAAUACAAGUUGUCUUUCCGUAUUACGACCAACUACAUAAUACCGCUUAGUAUCAGUUUAAGCAUUAGACAACCAAUGAGCAACAUUUGCUUCUAUUUUACUUUGGGUGCAAAAACUAUAUGAGAACAAUAAUACAAAGUAUAUUAAUUUUAGUUAAUGAAUUUGUUUUAUUAACCAAUCUGUUCGAAAAAAUUACAAGUUACAAAUGACUAUACUACACUUAGGGUACUAGAUCCAAUAGUAUCUUUCUUUCUAAACCCGUUUGGUUCCACAAAAGCCGUUAGAAGCAUCUCAUCUUCCUCACCAAAUUCUACAUAGUUUGUUUCUAUAUUCUCAUGGCACUCAUUUUAGAAAUGUCCAAUUUUAUGAAAUUUGUAGCUUUCCACUGUUGCUUUGUUAAAACUUGCUUGACCUCUCCCUCUCCCUCUUCCUCUUUUAUAAGCACUACGACCACGACCUUUUCCUCAUCAUAUGUCAAUUUCAAAAACUGCUCCUCUCCAUGAUGCCUUUGAAAUUUAUGUUCAUGUACUAUUAAUGAGAUUUGUAAUUCAUCUAUAGUGAGAGCAUCAGUGCCUUUUGAUUCCUCAAUAGAACAAACAACAUAGUUAAAACUUUUCAGUUAAAGAGCUUAGAAUUUUUUUCUACCACUUUAACAUCCUGCAUAUUUUCUUCAUAAGUUUGCAUCUUGUUGUUCACUUUCAUGACCUUUGAGAAGUACUCUAUCACUCAGUCAUCAUUCCUCAUCUCAAACGUUUCAAAUUCUCUGUGGAGAGAUUGAAGAUAAGAUCUCUUGACCUUUACAUUUCCUUCAUAUUUUUUAUUUAUGGUAUCCUAUAUUUCUUUGGUAGUAUUCUUGUUAAGAAUGAUUUGUCUCAUCAUUCUUCUUUCUUUGUGUAUUUAACUAAUGUGCUUUUCUUUCUAGUUCAACAUAGUCAAGAUUCACCUCCCUUUAUUCCUUAGAAUGUAGAAAAUUUUCCAUUAAUAUGCUCCAAUGAUCAUAGUGACCGGUGAGGAAUAGUUGGUUGUAUAAAGUUGUCAGAAUUCAUCUUUUGAGUCAUCUUCUAUGUUGUUGCUAAAAUUUCUCAAGCCUUGAGGGGCUUCUAAUACCAAAUUGUUGGGAACUUUGAUCUAAUAUAAGACACAAGAACACAAGUAAACAACAAGCUAGACUUUUAAUGACUUGAGUUUUACUGAUGAUGACCUUGGCUUAUAUAGUCAUACAAUAAGAUCUUAAUAGAGAAUAAAAACCACACACUCAAAUCAAAUCAAAGAUAAGAGAUAAUAGUAACAUAGAAUAAUUCAAAUACCAAUAUCCCUAAAGAAUAUGAACUUAUUUUAAAAUAAGUUCUGCAAAAGACUCUUUUAUAAAUGUCAUUUUUCUCUACUAGUCAGAACAACCGGUGGUAACCCAAAUCUAGACACUCGGGUGUUCCUUGAGGUUUGAUCCAAACAAAUUCUGAUUUUGAGCCUCAUUGGCCAAGUAAGCAAGGCUUUUGGAAGAUUGUGAAAAUGGCCGACGAGGGUUCUUUUAGCUUCGUUGUGGAGUUUGAUACCAAUUUUAUCCCUUUACUUGGUGACAUCAAUGGUAAUCAUGUUAGCGUUUAUGUUAAAUCCGUUGUUUCUUUGGCUGCGAUUGAUGUUUUGUCAAAAGGGUUUUGAUCUUCAAAGAGUGAAAAUGAUAUCAACUUUGAUUGAGUAUGGGAUUAAGAGAAAUUGAUUCAAGUAUGGCUUAGUUAUUCAUCAAGUAAGCCUCUAAGUACUCUUCAUGGUGCCCAAAUAGGCUUUUCCAAGAAAUUUAAGGAAUAUAUGCAUAAUAGUUACUCAAACAGUAGACCCUGCACUUAUCCUUCGGCACCGAUCAAAACAUGGUCUAGCUCUUUGUCUUUGCCAACCAUGUGUAUUGCUUUAGCUGCCCAUUGACAUUGACCUAAAACCUCAUUAAACAUGGUUCGACAUUAUCGUCUAACGAUCUUUCUGUGUACCCAAAUGACAUAGUCGGCAAGUAUAGGUCAAAGAAAUGGAAGUUGUAAAUGUAAGGGAUUGUCAUUUGUUGGACAUCGACGAAAGCUUUCUUAGUGAUUUAGCUUUAAAGAGAAAAGCCAUGGUGAUGGAUCAAACGAACUCUUCCUUGAAGUUAAAGGUUGUUAGGCGAUUAAGUUCAUACCCGACAACCACGUAUCCGUCAAAUAAUUGAAGCUUUCCAUUUGAGGAAUACAAAACGAGAUUCACAGUCUCUAAAAGAACGAACCUUUUUACUUUUUCACUGUUGUUGCUUUGCCAAACGGUCGACUCCGACGAUUCCUUCACCACCAAUUGCCCUGUUCCGGUGAUUUCCAGUGAAGAUCCGAUGAUAUUUUUUAUGUGUUUUUCACAAUUCGCAACCAAAACCCAAGUUUGUGAAAAGAAAGAGGUAAAACCUAUAUUACGUUGAUUGAUGAUUGUGCUUUUUGUUAGUGAUUAACGGAAUUUUUAAUGGGAGGAUUACUUUGCACAAUUAUCUUAAUUAGAGUGAUUAAAUUAAGAAAAAAAUUUAAGUGACUAAAAUCGAACAAAUCCUAUUUUAGAGCGACCAUGAGUAUAAUAUUUAAUUUUAACAAUCAAAUGAAUUUGGAUCAUAAGCUUCGUGGGUUGUUUUCAAGUUUUGGUUUAAUGGAUUGAAAAAUCAGCUCAGCCUUUGAGCUAACCCACGACGUUAGCGAUCUAUUCAUUUUCUAAUUGUAAGCCUAUAUUUUUGUUGAAUUGACCCUUCUUUAAAGCCCCUGAAUUUCAGCUCAGACACCACAGUCAUUGUAUGAAGUCAUCAAUUAUGACCUAUAGGUUAUGCUCACUCUUAUAUUUUGCAAAAUUUUUAAAAUUAAACUAACGAUGGAAUUAAUCAAAUCACCAAUACUAAUCCAAGUUCAACUAUCCAAUUCCCCUUUAUAAACUGACUUUACCUAAGUAGAUAAUGAGUUGUUUUCUUCAUAUUUUGAAUUUAUUUCUUGAAUUCGUGACCUAAUAAUCUCAAUCAAUAAGUGGAUAAAAGAUAUAUACUCAAGUGGCAUGAUUUGAAUCGGUGAAAGAGACCAAAUCAAUGUAUAAAAAUGGAGAAUAGCAUUGUUGGAGUUUUCGAAUGGUAUUUUUGUUUUUGAAGAACAAGAAAUAAAAGUAAAAAAGAAAAUAUCUAGAAGAAUGAGAAAAAUGAAACGUUAGAAUUAAAAGUAGGUUUUAAGAUUAGGGGUGUUCAAACGGUUAUUAAUCUAAUUGAAUUAGUAUUAAUUGAAUUUAACAAAUUGUAUAAUCCUUUCAUCAUUAAUCGAACAUAAUUUUUUUCAAAAAAAAAUUAACCGAAUCGAAAUAUUCCGAUUAACUCAGUUGGUUAACCAAAUUAACCAAAGUAUUUAAAUACUUAAAAAUCCCUAAAUUCUCAAUGAAACUUGAAAAAAACAACUUAAAAUUACAAAAGAAAAACAUGUCAAGAUUCAGAGAUUGAACGAAGAUUUCAAAGGCGUUGUACGCAAUCUGCAAUUUCAUCAGGUUUCAACGAGAUAAUCGAUUUUAUUUAAAUUUUUUUUAUAAAAAAACGGGUUCUACGAAGCAACGAUGAUGAUGAGUGGUAACCUAGUGGACGUCAAACGAUGUUGAGUGUUUUGGGCUGUCAAGCUAGGGAGCCACUCGAAGGUGAGUACCAGACAGUAGUGAGUGAAGUCAAACUUGAAGGUGCGCCACUACGUUGGGUUAGGGCGUGAAAAACGAUGGCCGAUGAACGUCGAACAAUGAUGGUGACUGAGUGGAUGUCAGAUGGUGGUGAUUGGUGAGCGUGUUGGGCUGUAGACGGCAAGAAUUUUAGGAGAUUUUAGAUUAAGGAUUUUCAAUUUUGGGAGAUCAAAUUAGGGUUAAGGAUUUUCGGUGUAUUAUUUUUAGUUUUUAGGAUUGGGUUGGGUUUAUAAAUGUAUAUUGGGUAGGAGUGUUGGGGGUUGGGGCCUGGGUAGGUAGUGAGCUAAUACAUGUAAUAUAUAAUAUUAAUUAUUAUGUUCAGUUAAUUACUCAAUUUUAAACCGAAUUAAUUGAUAAUCAAAAUUCUAAAAAACCAUUAAUCGGCUUCUAAUUGAAUUAAGUUUGAUCACCGAUCGAUUAACCGAAUUAGAUAAAUUCGAUAGAUUAAUUUAGUUUUAAUCGAAGUUUAAACACCCUAUUUAGGAUCCCAAAUAGAUACUAAAAAUUGAUAUAAGCCCAUAUCACAAGGAUAAAUCUUAGGUCUAAAAUAACAACAUUUUGGCAAAAGGUAAACUUAAACCCAAGACCUCACACACACACACCUAGAACACUUAACUACUAAAGUAGAUACGCAAUUGUGUCAAAUAUUUACAGAAACAGAAAUAAAUUAAGUGGGGUGUUACAAUGUCCCAAAUUAAAUACCUAUAAAAAUAAUCAAGUCCAUGCCACAGUCCGUUUAACACAACAAAACUCAAAAAGAGAUUAAUAAACAGUUUGGAAAUAUGUUUUUGAAGAAAAUUCGACGACGAUACUCCGAGUGCCAAGUUCAAGCCCUAAUCUCACGAGUUAUCUGAAAAGUUGAGAAAAACUAAAGAGUAAGCUAUGAAGUUCAAUGUGAUCUUAACAUGAAAACAAAUAAACAAAUUAACAGAAAUUACAGCAUACGAGCUCAUAGAAAACAAAUCAUAUCAGAAUAACAGUUUCAUAGUAAUUUUUAGUAAAUAUACAAUAUACAUGAAUGACAGUGCAAUUUUCCUACCGCAACCAUUCGCUAAACUCCAUAGUAAGAGUUCUCCAGAACUCGUCCCACUUUAUACACCAAACAAUAUUUUGCGAAUGAAUCACCGAUAAAUAUACGGAUGAACCGCCAAUAUAUAAGUAAGUUACGGAUAAACCACCAAUAAAAAUAGUAAUUUGGUCGACAUUAAAUGUUUUCACUUCCUUCUUCAAAACCCAAACCCCAUGCAACAAUAUGACAAUUUUGAUGAUGAAAGAAAAUAGUAAUAGUAUGCAAACGGUAACAGUUCUUUGAUCAAGCAGUAACAGUAGGUAUGCACCAGUAAAAUAUACAGAUUUAACACUGAAUCAAUAUCAGACACAUGUCCAACACCAACGUUUCAGAAAAUGGCAGCAUAGUAAAUCUACACUUACGGUUUUCCGGCAUCUUACCCACAGAUUCAACUUUUUCAGAUUUGAUCAUUGUCGUUGCAUUUAGAUUCAUAGAUCAGGUCUAUUCGAUAUUCAUAAGGAAUUAACAGCAACUAACAUGCAUUUAGUACUUACACAAUCGGCCAAAGCCUACACACACGUAAGACACGCACCUUCACCCACUAGUCCCAGCGUCACACCACCAGUUUAUAAUAUAAAAUUUAUAACAUAUAUAUCCUUUUUCUUAUGAUGCUUAUGUUAUGUUAGGUUAUAAAUAUAAUUAACCAAAAAAUAAUAUAAAAUUUAUAAUAUAUAACCUUUAUAAAAAAAUUGAUAAAUUAUUUAAAAUUUUCAUAACACUUCUUAUAAACAAUAUAAAUUUUUGUCAUAACUUUAUAAAAUUAUUUUUUAUAAAUAAGUUAUGAUAAAAAAAAUAUAAUACUUUUUAAUGAAUAAAUAUAUUAUUUUUAUAAUAUAUAACAUGGUCACAUAAAUAAGUUAUGUCCAUACUUGGUCAUAAUUUUUAUAAAUAAAUAUAUUAUAACACUUCUAUGAUAUGUAAAUUAUUUUUUAUAAUAAAUUUUUUGACCAUAAUUUUUAGAAUUCUUUUAGAACUUAAAUAAUAUAAUUUUAUAUCAUAACUUUACAAAAUACACUUAUUUUUUUAAUAAUAUAAGAACAUUUUUACCAUAAUCAUCUCAAAUACUCGUAUGUAUUCAUGCUUAUAAUAUGAUUUUUAUAACUUGUAUAAAAAAGUAUUUUUUAAAAUUAGAUUUGGGUAUAAUUACCUACGUAAUUGCUCCAAUUCUCAACCUAUUCCUGAAAAUUAAAAAAAAGUGUAAUUUGAGUGCUCCAAUUACACACAAUUUAGUGGGACUCACUAAUUACAAUGAUUACUCAAACAUGUCAUUCUUGUGUAAUUACAAGUACACCCAAAUCCAACUACUAGGUAGCUUUCCAAACACAACCCUAGUAAUUGAAUUUGAGUGUAACUGCUUGUAAUUAGAUAAGAGUGACAUGUUUGGAUAACCAUUGUAAUUGAUGUGUCUCACUAUUCAUAAGGGGAAGGGUGAGAAUUUGAGUAAUCACACAGGUAAUUACACUCAAAUCCACUUUUAAAAAAUUUAUUUUUAUAUAAGUUAUAAAAAUUAUAUUAUAAGCAUGAACACGUAUGAGUGUUUGGAUGGUUAUGGUAAAAAAAAAUCUUAUACUAUAAAUUCUAAAAAAAUAUAUUAUAAAAACAAUUUUAGUAUUUUAUAAAGUUAUAACAAAAAAAAUAUAUUAUUCAAAUCCUAGAAAAAUUUAAAUUUAUGGCCGAAAUAUUUAUUAUAAAAUAUAAUUUACAUGUUAUAAAAAUAUUAUAAAAUAUUUAUUUAUAAAAAAUUAUGGACAAAUAUAUAAACAUAAUUUAUUUAUGUGUUCAUGCUAUAUAUUAUAAAAAUAAUAUAUUUAUUCUUAAAAAAAUAUUAUAGUUUUUUUCAUCAUAACUUUUUUAUAAAAAAUAAUUCUCUAAAGUUACUACAAAAAAUUAUAUUAUUUAUAAGAAGUGUUAUGAAAGUUUUAGACCAUUUAUAAAUCAUUUUUUUAUAAAAUUUAUAUUAUUUUUACUUUAUUUAUGUAUUAUAAAAAGGAUAUAACCUAGCAUAAGUUUUGUCCAAAUUAAGUUUAUAUGAGUUUUUAUAAAUAAAGUUAUAGACUGUUUAAACUGUGAACCCAAAUAUUAUAAGGUCGAUACUAAUUAUGCUAAUUAUGCACCAUAAACAACUCGUAAACUUUUUAAUUUGAGACAUUUAAUGUUUUGAAAUGUGGUUAAGAAGACAUUUGUUGUUCUAAAAAAAUAUUUUUCAUAUUAACAACAUCACCUUAGUAUAACAUAAAAAACAAGGUUGGAUCGUACAAUCAUAUUGCAGAUUCCAUAACUUGAAUCAUAAAUGAAUUGAGAUUAUUCAUACUUCGUAGUACAUGGAAAAAGAAGAUUUUGAUAAUCUUAAUGAUGCAGAUGAUGAACUCGGUCAAGACUAACAUAUAAUGAUAAGGAGCAUAUGUUAAAUAUUAAAGAGGGAAUAACCCAACAAAUAUGCAAUAGAACAAUUAUAUAAAAUUGCAUAUGAUGUUUAUUUUUCUUACUAUUUUGAUUAGUAAUCAUGUUAUCUUAUCAACUACUUUUUUAGACUAACAUAAUACAUAUGAUAAUUUGAUUUAAUUUUAUAAUACUAAUAUUUUUUAUAGUAAUUAAUAUUUUAAAAAUAUAAAUUAUGUAAUUACAAUUUGUACUAUCAAAAUAUAGGAGUUCUAAUUACAAGAGAGUGAAAUUACAGUUUCAUUCAAUUACACAAUGUUGUCCAAAUAGACUCUAACUAACUUCAAUAUUACAAGUCAGACAAAUGUGGUACACACACAAAAAAUUUCCUACCCCACUGAAUGAUGCUGGGAAGUUUCCCUAAAAAAGUACAGUGUUCUAAAAUGAUCACAACCUCCUAAUAGCUUCAUUCCUUAAAUCUUUCUCAUUUUGUUUCAUUUCAGAAAAGAAAAGAAAAGGUUAGCAAGUGAUUUGUGUAAUUGAGAAGAUGACGGAUUGGGGGCCUGUUUUUGUGGCAGUGGUGCUAUUCAUCUUGCUAUCAACAGGGCUGCUAUUUCAGAUUCCAGGAAAAUCCCGUUUUGUUGAGUUUAGCAACUUUCAAACUAGUGGACCAUCCAUUCUGGUGCAUUCAAUUCUCUACUUUGCUUUCAUUUGCAUUUUCUUGUUAGCUAUUAGGGUGGAGGUUUACAUUGACUCUUAAUUUUCUUAUUAUCUGUUCAAGAUACUCAUUAUUCGCAAUUUCUUAUGUUUUGGGAAUUGGUGUUGUUUCCUUCAUGAAGUUGUAUCUUUAUUGCUUUAUUUCCUUUAAAAAUAUUAAUAUUUAAGAUUUAUGUUCGCGUAUAUGUGGUGGCAAAGUACCAUAGAGGUAUUUGUAUUUUAUCCUCUAUUUAAAAAAGAGCAAAUUAAUCCAUGCACAUUAGAUUAAAGAGCGAAUUGAUUCUUUUGUUAAAAAUUUCAUCCAUUUCUAUUGUUAUAAACUAGUCCUUGUACCUCGGCAUGAGGUACACGUGGCACGUCAUAUGUAAUUGUUUGGUUAUUCCAUAAGUCACACUAGUUUUCAACAGUAGAAAUGCAUGAAAUUUUUAAUAAAAAAGACUAGUUUGCUCUUUGAUCUAACGCACACUCAUUUUUUUAAUAAAAGAGACAAAAUACAAUCUGACACCUAAUAUAGAGGUCUCCAUGAUACUUUACCCAUAUUUAAAUAUAAUUAUGAAAUUAUUAUCAAGACACAUACAUAUAUCCCAUACUCGUUCAAGCCAACCUAGAAAUUUAAAACAUCUUAAAAUUAAUAUUCAGUGCUUUUUAAUUUUAACUAUUAUUCUUAAAAAUUGGGAAAAAAGGAAAAAAAAAAUUAAUUAUUGAUGAGGUGGGUAAAAGUAAUGGAACGUGUAGAAGGCUAGUAUAUUCUUAAACCUCACCUUGGCGUGAUAAUGGGGAUGUAUGUACCAUAAAAGCUCUCCCCCAGAAUACUGAUCUUAUAAGUAAUCAAAAGGCAUUCUAGAUUAUGGAGAUUCUCUUUGCUGUAGAUAAUUUUUUAUUCUAAUCACCAAUCAACUCAAUUAAUUCAUGUUUGAUUUAAAUGAUAAAUAUAUAUUUCUCAAAACCAAUAAAAUUCAUGUUUGAUUUGUAAAUAUGAGAUAAAGAUGUAAGUUGUGAAUAAGAUGAAUUCAUAUCCGAAAAGAGGUUUGUUGAGGUCUGAAUAAAGUUGGAGGCUAAGAAUGAUGAUGCACACGGAAGGUUGAUGAGAGAUCCUCUUUGAUACCUUGAAAAGAAGAAGAAGAAGAAAUUUCUUUUUAAGAUUAGUGAUGAUCAAGUAUUUAUAAGCAGAGGUGAGUCUUUCUCUUAUAUUCAAAUCUUGGCACAUAUAUUAAGUGAGUUUAUCCAUGAACAACCAUCUAAAAAGCAUUUAGCCUCUAGAUAGGUGACGAUGUGAUUGGAUAAGUUGUAAACAAAGCAUCAUGUUCUUCUUAUGCAAAGAGAGGCAUGACACUUGCCUUCACAUGUCGUGUUAUGUGUCUUCAAAUAAUUAAAUGUUUACAACCCUUCAAGUGGACAAAGUAAUAGUAAAAAUAGUGAUGAGGUAGAGCAUCGCUAUGGUAGCAAAUAUAUAUAUAUAUAUUUGGAAAUCAACUAUUUGUCCCUUUAUUGCUCCCAUAAUGUCUAUAAUGAGUAAAUGAUGUAAUGCAUCGAAUUGAAUUGCAAAUUAAAGAGAAGGUAAGGAGAAAGUUAAAAUUGAAACCACAUUAACCAGUCGAAUGCACAAAUUGUGGUAGCGCAAUUGAGUGCUACAGCGAAGUUUCCUUUCCAGCAAAGUGGAUGCCAUUAUUAAAAAAAAUGAAAGGGGGAAAAGUGAAUCCGAAUAGCUUGAUUCGCUAAUCUUAACUUUCCUACUCAUCAAACCAUUUGUCUCUUCUUCCUAAAGCAAAACACCAUACCAUUAUAAUCAUCUUUUUCUUUUUCUUUUUCCCAUUUCCACCACAAACUCCAUAUAUUAACCAUAGAUCAGAUCAUACCACCAACUGGUCAACACCAAAGGGUUCUUUUUCCCCGAGAGAAAGACGAAAGAUGUCGGAUUGGGGACCGGUUUUCGUGGCGGUGGUGCUGUUCAUACUGCUAACACCGGGGCUUCUUAUUCAGGUACCAGGGAAGUCAAGGGCGAUUGAGUUUGGGAAUUUUCAAACCAGUGGAGUAUCCAUACUGGUGCAUUCCAUUAUUUACUUUGCACUCAUUUGUAUCCUCCUCUUAGCUAUUGGUAUCCACAUGUAUGUUGGCUCAUAGCUCACUAUCCUCAUCUGUCUUCACGCCUCGUAUAAGAUGAGUUUCUAACUAUCUGGGUUGUUGGUAUGUAAUCUGUCAAUUUAAAUCUGUUUCUUUUUUUAACCAAAUGGUUGUUUUUGUUUGUAAUAUGAUUUUGGGCUUCAAUUAAUCUUGCAAAUUUGACAAAUAAAUGUUUAUUUUUUUCUUGGGUUGUGUGUAUCAUCUCGUUGCAUGGUUACCUGAUAUAAACUUCAUGGUUUCUUUUUGCUUUGCUUCAUUCCUUAUUUCCUUUUACUUUUAUUUAAUUUUGUUAGUAAAUAGUUGUUGGAUUGGCAUGGGUAUUGUUGUCGAUGCAGGAGAAUGUGCUGAAACGCAUUAUCCUUUUAUCUUUUUUAUGAUAAUAAUUUUAAUCCUCAAUUUUUAUAUUUUUUGUCAAUACGACCUUGGUUCCAUAUAGAAAUUCUAGAAAAAUAAAAUCUCGAAAAGGAAGAAAGUUAUCAUUCAAUAAAAUCCAAUAACAAAUUAAAAACAAAACAAAAUAAUAAUAAAAAAGUUAGAUCAUUACAUGCUUCCUCAAUGUUUUUCAAAACCAAAUUAGUAAUAUCUUCAAAUCAAGUUUCAUGCCCUAAAGAACAUGUAGAACUGAUAUUAGAGAGGUCUGAAAUUGACUCUAAUGCUAUUUUUUAGCAAAAAAAAAAUACAAAAUAUGCCACAAAAUUUCUCAAAUUCACAAAUUAUAUUCUGAAAGAAAUAGAGGAAUAAAAAGUUAAAGAACCAAUAAUUUUACUUAAUGGUUUUAUUUUUUCUGGGUUAUUUAAAGAAUGUGUAUUAAAUAUUUCUAUAAAAAGAAAAUUUGGAAGGUUUAAAAACAAUUUCCCCUCAUUUUCUCUUACUCUAAUCUAUUUUUAAAAUGGUUAUCUACUUUUAAUUUAAUUUUUAGAAUUUUCUAAAUUUUUUACAAAGAAUUUUAAUUUUUAUCAUUUUAUAUAUAAUUAAGAUCAAAUUGACAAAAAAAUAAAAAUUGAGAACUUAAAUUAUUAUUAUACCAAUUAAAAAAGUGCCACUUAAGAAUUAAGAAACAACAAUUUCGAAAAGUGAGCAAAAAGAAAAGUUACUUAUAAUUUUAAUGACUAAUUGUGUAAUUUACCCAUCUUUUUAUUUCAAUUUAUGUAUUAAUCAGUUUGAUUUGACAUAAAGAGAAGAUUGGAAAGGGUAGGUUAGUGUUGGUUUUCUUUGCUUGUUCACUUUGAUUAUUGUGCUCAAAACAGGACAUUUCCCUGUCAAACUUAACAAUGAGAAGGAUGUAAUUAUAGUGGUUUUUCCAUAUCCGGUUUCCCAUUUUUUUUUAUCAAAUUUUUAAUUUUUCGAUUCAACUACUCAACCGAUAAAAGCAUGAACAUGCAAUUUACAGAUAGAGAUUAUUAAGUAUUGAAGGCUACUGUUUAUUUCAUAACAAGUUCAAAAUCAAAGAAUAUUGUCAACAGAAAAUCUGCCAACCAAAAAAGAAAAAUACUGAUUAGGACUUACAAAUAUAACUCACAAGAGAAGAGAGUGAGUAGCACAAACUUUCCUGAGAAAAACCCCGUUUGUUGUUGAUUUAGAUAUAGAGAUGAACAUGAAGAACAACAAGGAACAAUAUCAUGAACAAAGCAAAUAGAAUUGCAUGCACAAAAAUGGCAGCCGCACUCGUCUUCAUGUUCAUAAAAUCAAUAGGAUGAUGCUUCCCUGGGAUUUGCAGCAGUAAACCUGGUUGAAGAAAUGCAAACAGUGCUGCUGCUAUGAGUGGAGCACCCCAAUCAUUCAUUUUCUUCUAUAUCGGUUUCAAACAAAUAUGUCUCAAUACUUUGUGUAUAUGAAGCACUUUUGAAGAAUCAAACAAAGCAUAAAAAAAAGGGCUUUGGAUGCUUUGUUUAUGGAUUGGUGACUUUAACACAUUUAGAGAAGGAAUGAGAAUCACAUAAAGCUAGAAAAGGCCCUCUGCAAUUAAUGUGGGUACAUUGUAUCGAUUCUCUCUUUCUUCUUGAUACUCUCCGUCACUGUUUUUACGCAUUUAAGCACAAGCUUUUAUAAGAAAAAGAAAAGUGGAGCUGGGAUUAGCCAAUCGAUCAAAGAAAUGGGCUGAGAGAAGCUAAGAUGCAUAAUGCCUUCAAAAUCUACUUUUCCAUUGCUUCUUUUUUAUCUUAUUCCUUUCCAUUCAUUCUAUUAUUAAAAUUUUGAGAUAAAACAAUGGGUUUUCACAAGAAAUCUUCUGAAAAUUAGCCAUUCUCUUAACAUUAUUGCAAAUUCAUGCUUAUUUAUGAUGGCUCCCCAUUUACCAAUUUUUAUUGGACUACAUGACUUUGUAAUUUGGAAAAUGUUAGUAAAUAUCAAAGGGCAUAUAAUUAAAUACAAGAAAGCCCUUAACUUUAAUGCUAAUCAGUGUCAAAAAAAAAAACUUUAAUGCUAAUCCUAAUCCCAUUUUCAUUGAUUAAAAAAAGUUGACAAACUUAAUCUAAUGGCUAGAAUUUAGCUUCACAUGGACUAAGCAGUCAGCACCGACCCCAGACAAAGCCACGCCCCCAUACCCAAGUCUUUCUUGUGCUUACAAAUGGCUCCAUUUGCCGACUAUCACUUUCCGUCUUGAAAGUUCUUUUGGGGACCCUAACUCAUCUUCCUCCACCGUUUCACCUCAACUCUUACAACUGCUUUCUGAAGCGCUCCAGCCCUGGUUGAGUUUAGUUUUUAAGUGAAGGAACACUCUUUGAAAUGGCAGAUUGGGCUCCUGUACUUGUUGGGGUGGUGCUAUUUGUGUUGCUAUCACCAGGACUUCUGUUUUCAUUUCCAGGGAACGGCAAGCAGCUGGAGUUUGGGAGCAUGAAGACUAAUGGCAAGGCCAUUGCUAUCCACACUCUUCUUUUCUUUGCCAUCUAUGCUGUUUUGAUCAUGGCUGUUCACCUCCAUAUCUACACUGGCUAACCACUUACCUGCCGGUGAGAGUCUUUGUUAUUGGUCUCUCUAUUGGAGAUCUGUCUUGGGUUUUACUUGGUUUAUCAAUCUUUGUAUUAGCUUGUUUCAAUUUUGGACCAACGAAAUUUGUGGCACAGACCUUUGUUUCCCAAAGUUUACUUUUUUACAAUUAGAAAAAAAAAGAAAAAAAAACCCCUUUUUCCCCCUUUCAAAAGAAGGGCUUUAGUAAUGGAAUUUGGUUUGCUUUCUCCAAUCUCUUAACCUUGAGCAUCUAAAUGAAUUAGUUUUGUGAAGGCUAUUUUCUUCAUUUGGGUUUUAUGCUGAAAAUUAGUGCUUUGUUUUGUUUGCUCGAUAAUAUGAUAGUUCAUAAAUAACUCAUGGAAAUAGACAUAUAUACUGAAAGUUCUUUGGGGAUUUAGAGAGCCAAGAUGAAUAGCUUGUUCAUAUGACCAUUAUCCAUCUAUAUCUAUGUUAUCACAGUGAUAUAAGACUAAGAUUAGCUGUUAAAAGAGGGGUCUGGCAAUACUAGACAAAGUUGAGAUUAUCAAAGAUCUUUAGCCUGAAUAAAUUUCGUACAAAUUGGACCACCUUGUCAUGAUAUAGCUUUCAUUAUUACACUGUCAAGAUUUCUCUUGCAAACAACAAUGAACAAGAUAGUGAAAAAACAAAAGGGGAAGUAGGUUUAUAACAUGGAAGAAACUAGAACAUAAGCUUCUUGUAAGUAAAAAACAAAUGAGAGCCAAUGAAAAAAAAAAAAAAAGAAACAAAGAGGUGCCCUUUUCUUGAGAGUUUGGAUCAGUUAAUAUGUAUGUGAAUACCAAUAGCCACCAUCAAGAUAGUGAUUAUGCAGAAAUAUAUGACAGCAUGAACUAGGAUGGCUAUCCCACUUGUGCACAUAUUACCAAACUCUAUCACUCGAGUCCUUGCUGGUAGCUGGAACAACAACCCUGGUGACAACAAUAUGAAUAAAACUACUGAAACAAUGACUGGUCCCCAAUCUGCACUCAUUUCUUCUCUUUCUUUCUUGUUUUUAAGGGAAAGUUUUGAAUGUUUGGGAACUUGUCUUCCAAUACAAAUGGGAAAAUGAACAAGUGUACAUUCUAUUAUGUAGGAUGGGGUGGCAAUGGAACUAAUGUUUUUCUUGGUGGCGAAGGAGAAGGGGAUGAUGCUAAACUUGGUGUGAAAGAAGGGAUGAGUUUAAAGGGGAGGUAAGGUAUGGAAAUGUUAGUGGAUUUGCUUUAUGGAGAAGCCCAGUUUCUUCCAUUGGCUUCUGAUAAAUUGUUUUUAUUUUCAAGGCUUCUUUUAGCUUUGCUUUAUUACUUUUAUUAAAGAUAUAUAUAAAUAAAAAGAAGUGAAUUGUAAAGCAACUAGGCCUGCAUGUGUAAAGUUGACCCUUUUGCCUGGAAACCUUGUUUGCUUGUGGCUUAAUGUAAUUUGUGUAGGUCCUAUGAACCAGGAUUCAUAUGUGUUAAGAAAUUUCAAAAGCUAAAAGAAUAUACAGGGAGACAAUUUGAUAAAAGGAGAGCUUUUAAGGCUAUUCAUGAAGUCAGAAAUUACUGUCAUGGAUAUGUUUUUGUUCAUGUUGCAUUUACUGUGUUUGCAGAAGUGCAUGCAACUGAUAUUAACUGAUUGAGGGUGUUCCAUAGAUGAUACACUGAGUAGGAAUGAAUCAGCAAUACAGCAUUCAUUGGUAUUUAAGUGUAACUUCAUAAUACAAUUCUAAAUAUUAUUUUAAAGUGCAAUACAGCAUCAUUGGUAUUUAAGUGUAACUCCAUAAUAUAUAUAUAUAACUUAUGGUGUAAUGGUAAAGUAGUUUUAUACUUUGCUUGUCAAUCUCCUCCGAAAAAUUCAUGAUCUCUUUCUUAGCUUCUAACGUCUAUCUAGUCCUGCAGAAAAUAAUUUUAAUGAUAACUUGUGGUGUAAUCAUAAAGUGAUUUUUAUUUUAAAGAUUGGUAUAUAAGAGUAUAAAUUAAAUAAAAAAUUUGUGGUGUAAUGAUAAAGUAAUUUUAAUAACUAUUAGGUAUUGGGUUGGGUUUAAAUCUCUUUAUUUCGAAAUUAUUAUUAUUUGUAGUCAAAAUAGGAUGGAAUCAAUUACAAACUAACAGAAACGCCAUUAAAAUCAGAUCGUAAGAACUAACUAUAUGAUCGAAUCUGAUCGAAUCUGAUCAGCAACUUUAGCAAGAGCUAUAAAAAGAUCCAAGCAUUUCAUUAAAGCUCCUAGAACAUGGCCAAACAAACUCAACUUGAACUCAUGUGAAGCAAAUCUUAAUGACACAGGUCGCGGAUCUAAGCUCGUGAUGAAUGCACAAAUAACGUCCUAUAAAGGUUAAUUGAUUAAAUGUGGUUCAUUUGACUUACUUGAACUAACCUAAUUUGUGGAGUACAUUGAGAAACCUAUCUAUUUGUAGUAAAAUUAGAGUUACCAUGGUUAAUGUAAAUCCUAAAGGAUAAGAUUAUAUAGAGUUUAAAUCCUUUAGGACUCUCAUCUUGUAGAUAGAUACUAAUCUCAGUUGUUGAUAUAAUUCAAUAUAUACUAUUGGAUCUGGGGAACUCAAUUAUAAAUAGAGGUCUUUCCCUUCAUUUGUAAUCACUCAAUUAUAAUUCUUCAAAAUAAUAUAAUACUUUUGAAAGCAUUUACUCAAACAUUUGGUGUGUUAUUAUUCUCUAUUGACAUUUUUGUUCGAUAUAAGUUCUUUUGUCUUUUCGAGUUUGCUUCCGCUUUAUUUUCGGUGCUUUAGAGAAUUUCUGUGAGAAUUUUCAUUUCUUGAUAAUAAGGCCGACUUAGGUGGAUUUGAACCCAAGAGAUCGCUUAAGGUUGCAUGAUUUGCCAAACUAAAAUUCUAGCCUUAUGACAGUUGGUAUUUGAGCCAAUGUUUGAAGGCAUCAGCUGAGAUGACGAAAGGAGUAAAAGAACAAAAUGUUUCGAUGGAGAUGCAUGGGAAGACUAGGAAAAAUAGUAGAUCGAGGGAUAUGCUGUCGACUUUGGAAGGUCGGGUGACCAGUCUUAAGGAAUCCAUGGGUGGUGUGAAGGAAACAUUCGAGGUAGUUGAGGGAUGCACCAAUGAGUUAGACUCGAUGAGAGAACAGCUCAGGGAUUAUGUGACAGAAGCUUUCAGUUCCAUUCGAAAUGUGAUGAGGUCUAUGCUGUCAUGGAUGAUCAGACCAAGAAGUUGACUAAGAAGAAUUGCUCUCGAAGCUAUGGUCGUGGCUUUGAAGGAUGAAACUGAAGCCAUAAUUUCAAAAAUUGAGGAGCUCGAGGGAUAGCUCAUUGUGUGCAGAGUUGUGGGAAAAUGGAUGCUAGCUUCAAUUCUUAAGUAGCGUAAAGUGGAAGUCCUCAAAUCGAAAGAGUUUAAAGUGACUAGAUCCGCAAGGGAUAUGAGUAAUUUUCUCUAAGGAUGGAACAAUACUUUCGUGCGUUGGGUGUCGAAAAGCCAAAAGAGUCAAAGAGAAUGAAAAAAAGCCAGUGAAGUAAUUAUUAUGUUGUGGUCCACAUAGGAUACGAGACCGUAACACUUUAUACUUGACCUGACUUACCAAACCCUAAUGUAGGAUGCCAUAAUACUUAAAUCCUUAACAAAAAUUUUACAACUGGCGAAACAAUACUAAAUAUAUUUCUUAUUUAUUUAUUCUUUUUAAGUCAAAAUGUUUUAAAGGGAUGUUUACUAAAUACAACAAAUUCUCGACAGUAGUUUAAUACAUUACAACUUAAAUCUUUGUUAAAACAGACUUGAGCAUGGUGAAGAGUACUAUUUGCCAUAUUCAAUUGAGUGCCCCUCUGUAUGCAUAAUAUCGCUAUUCGAAUUGCCACAUUGGCUCAUUCUUAGCUUGGUCCCUUCUAGCGCACUAGUUCAAUUUCAAGAACCUGCAUUACAGAUAGACGCUUGUAAGUUCAACGAAACUUAGUGAGUCUCGACCAAUAUUACCUUUAACAUCGUUGUUUGAUUCCUCUAUUUAAAGAUUCUGGGCUUCCUUUUAAACUUUGACAAAUGCUUUCCUGAUUCUUGUCGAAUAACUAUACGCCCAUCACUGCACUUAACCACCUUAUACACAUUCGCUCGAUGAGCGGAUCAAAAACUUCACACCAUAAUGUGAAUAUUAUUUCACAAUCCUUUUUGAAGAUAGAAGUUGGAUACAUUUCUCAGAAUGAUAUUAAUGCGGAUACUAUUCUUGGUUUAUUCUUAUACUAACUCUAGCGGCUGACAAAAUUUCAGUCACACUAUAUCUUUAAAUUGAUCCAGACAACGAGCUUAAUUUGAUGAAUGCGAUGUUUUAGAUCAUCCAAUAGAACUCCAGAUGACUUCGAUACUUAACGUGAGAACUUCCAAAUUUGGAAGGCACUUACCCCACUUAUAAUUACAAAUAUGCCAAGCUCUUUGUCCUAACGGGUUGUUAUGGUGAAUUCAUCAGUCGGAUACACUGUCGGGAACUCUUUCAAAAAAUGCCUUAAAGACAUACUCAGAUCUUGUCACAAAGACAGACUGACAACUCACCACUUAGACGUUAAAAAAUUUGCCAUACAGGCUUUCCAAAUGAUUUUCCACAAAAACAUUCUAGUGAAUAUGCUAGAUAGACUUUUCAGAUAACUUGCCACAAAGGCUUUCCAGAUUAUAACUCACAUAGGCUUUUUACAUAACUUGUCACAAUAACUUUCCAGAUAAUACGCCAUAAUGGUUUUUCAGAUAAUACUCCACAUAGGCUUUUCAAAUAACUUGACACAAAGGCUUUCUAGACAAUACGCCACAUAGGCUUUGUUUGGUUUACCACCAAGGGACCACAUAAAUUGUCAUGUUUGGCGACAUAGAUUUGCUUAAACUUAGCAUCGCUUAAGGUUUGCCCAUUAUCGCCCCUAGGACACACAAAAACCCUAGUAAAUGAAUACGGCUUAUUCGUUAUUCUCAGAAUAUGCCAUGGCCAUGGUCUUUUCAUAUAUCUACCACACUGGCAUUUUAUUUUCAUGUUUAUUGUCCCAAUGGACGCCAUCAAAGCACCACUACGGGGUUCAUUGUCAUAUUACAUAUUUUCUCAGCACUCCACCCGAACCCUUAUCGCCAGCCAUACUUUGUCAUGCAUUAGUCAAUUAGCAUAAUUGACACAUUUACAUAGAUUUCACUCAUAUCCAUUACAGUCAUACUUUCCAACACAUAAUUUCUUAUACAUGCUUAUCACAAAUCGUCAUAUUCAUGCAGCACAUUUUAUACUUCACUUACACGCACGCACGCACACGCACACGCACACGUAUACAUACAUCUCUUCAAGCACAACUACAAGAACAUCAACCAUACAAAGAAUCAUUAUAAAAUAUCACACAAGAGUCGGGUCUAAAGACUUACCAGAGACCCACUUUUACCUCAGCCUUGAGCUUCUUUCGAACGUCAUUCUCGAUCCAGAAGUAGCCACAUAAUGUUGAAUCAUCUAUUGAUUAAACGAAAUCUUAGCUCUAUCUUAACGAAUAAGAAGAAAACAUUUGGUUAGAAAGAAGGACCAAAAUGUUGAGCAGAAAGAAAAACCAUCUAGAAUGUUCUUUCUCUUCACUUUAUAUACUCUUAGUCUCCCUUGAUUUCCCUACCAAAUCCAAGGGUAGGUAAAAGAAAAUUCGAGAAAGAUCUACGUUAUUGUUUGACCAGUAAUGGGGAGGGUCAACAAUUGACUCCCAACUAGUCCUAUUACAGGAACCAACUUGAAUAAGGCCUUGGGUCAUUAUUUUUUACACAUGUGAAUUCAAGAGAAAAUUCUUUGAAGAAAUUGUUUCAGAAAAAUUUUAGAGAUUUUUUUCUUAUUUAUAACUUGGCCCAAAAGUGUAGGGAAAUUACGAAAUUAUCUGGGGAAAAUACUAACCCGUUUAGAGGUUCGUAAUCUUCGAACAAACGACACUUUAAAGAUUUUUUCAAAAAGAGUUGACUCCAAUUUGACCGAUUUUGUAGGGCUUGGCUAUCUUUUUAAAAAUCUAAAAUUGACUUUAUAUAUUGUAUAAUAUUUUAAAAAAUCGGUUAAAUCAGUUAACUGAUCUAAAUGAUAGAAAUUAAGUUGGUUCAGUGAGGUUGGCUAUGAAAAUCUAAGUUGAUCUAUCCGAUUAUUAUAAAUUAUUUUCACUUAAGUUGGUUAAAUACAAAUAAUCGACCAACCUAGGGAUGUUAGUGGAGUGAGGUGCGAGCGGAUGUUGCUAAAUCUACCACCAGUCUAUAGUUAGCCCGCUCUACUCCACCACCUGCCCUUCUUUACUAUGCAUGUAUAAUCUUGAAAAUCACUACCACCUCCAUGGAUGUUGGAUGCAUCCAUCCCCACCCCACCCUACCCCACCCUGCUAUGCUCCAAUUUAACUUCUGCUAUUUAUCUUUAAUAUUCUCAAUCUUUUAAAGACAAGUAAAUAUUUAAACAUAUUUUUUAAAAAAAAAUAUAUAAAAUAUAUGAAUUUUUAUAAUAUGUUAUUACAUUUUUUCCUUUUAAUUGUUAUAUAUAUACAAAGAUAAAAUGGUAAUUUCAUAAAGUGGAGUGGAGCAGAAUGGGGCAAGCAAUUAUCAUAACGUUCCAUACUCACUGUCUGAAAGAAAAAAAUCCACCCCCUCCAUCUUGAAUUCACUUUUCAAAAAUAAAAUUUCAAAAUCCAUCAGACAGUUUAGAUUUUACGGUUUCUAGAUUAAUUGACUAAAAUAAUCGAAAGCUCCUUCUUAAUUGAUUGUAAGUGAAAAGCCACUCUCCUUCUCUACGCUUUAAAAUAAUAUUUAAAGUUACAUUAAAAAUUGUAUUUUAAAAAAUAUUACAAAAUGAUAUUAAUAAAUAUUUUUUUAUAUAAUGUAACGUUUAUAAACUAUAACAUUAAUAAUUUUUUAUUUUAUGAAAAAAAUAUCAUUUCAUUUAAAGAAAACAAAUAACGAAAUGCUAGGCAAUCAAGACUAUUCAUACAUAAAAAUUAUAAUCGUCUAUUUCCAAAUAUUUACAUGGGAUUAUUAAUGAAAAAACAAAUUUAAGCUUAAAAAGAGAACGGAAAUAAACAAAGAGAAAAGCCAUAAUAAUAAAUGAAAGAGAUUUUUGGAGAAUCCACUUUAUUAUUCCAGACAUGCGGAUGGGAAAAAGUUAUUAUAAGUUAAUGUAUCCAUCUUUUAAGUUAUCCCUUUGAUGGUAACGAGACAUCAUCAAUAGCUGAAAAAGCUUUCUUCCUCUCAAUUUUCAUCUAACGGCUUAAAUAUAAAAAUUUAUCAAAAAAGUUGUGUUGAGUAUUUUGUUGUGUGUCCUUUUGGUGAGGAGAAUCAGAUAUUUAUAUGACAGGGUUACUGUUCAUAGAAUUGACGUAUUAGGUAGACUCUAUGCAUAUUGACAUAUAUGCUAUCCUAGACUUAACAUGUGUUUGCUGGUCUAAGUAUUCGUCAGUUCACUUGUUUGGCUUCACACCCUCUACUUGCGAACACUCAAGGACAUGUGAACUGGGCUCGCGAGCCCUCCCCGCAAGCCCUUAACGUAUUUACCUAGUGGGGUCCAAACUUGGGUUGCAAGUCAGUAGCAUGGGUUAUAUCCAUGUUUCGGGUUUUGGCAAUUGAAAAUACCAUAACAAGUUGGCAUAAUAGUCGACGCCUUAUUAAAGUUCCAAAAUUAUGUCCUUGGCAGCUAAUUCUUCAUAUAUAGUUAAAGACAGCGAAUCUUAUUUUCUUGGUGUUGCAGUGGAACAUAUUAAAGCUACAAAUUAUGGUGGAUCUUAUCUUUCUGAAGUUGCAGUGGAGCAGAUUGAAGCCACCAGCCUUAUCUCCCUAAAGUUAUAGCAGAGCAGACUGAAGACAGCGAAUCUUAUUUCCCUGGUGUUGCAGUGAAAUAGAUUGAAGCUAUAAAGUGCAUAUCUUAUAUCUCUGAAGUUGUAGUAGAGCAGAUCACAUUAAACCUUAUCUCCUUGAAGUUGCAGUGGAGUAGUGAAAUAGAUCGAGGUGACCAACUCCUAUACUCCUGAAAAUGCAGUGGGAUGGAAUGAGGUUACUUGAAGAAAAGAAGAACCAAGAAGUCAAGAUUCGCCAAGAUUGGGCAGGAUUGGCCUCUCUUGAAAGUCUUUGCUCCAUUCACGUUACACGACAACGAGUAAAGAGACGCAACUGUAAAUGGCCCAAUCUGCCCGGGCCAUUCAUAAAAUUAAAACCACAAUAAUUUAGAAACCCAACUAAAUAAAUUAAAACCAAUUAAAGCCAAAAGUCCAAAAAUAACAAAGUCCAUUUACAAUAAAAAUCCAAUUAUAAAUAAAUAAGCCCAAUACAAACCCUAGCCCAAAACCUAUCAGUAACCCUAACUUAGCAAAUUGAACAGUUUGCGCCGUUCUCCCCACCACAGCAACCACCAGCCGCUGCCCUCACCCACGUGCGCCACCACGCGCCUCCAGCUGGCCUUGCACCUGCAACAAACGCAACAAACAAGCAGAAAAGAAAAGCAAUAACAGAAAAGGAGCAAACCAGAAUAACAACAAAUAAUAGAGAUUAAAUAACAAAAAAUAUAAAAAAAUAAUUUCUGUAACUUCAUUUUAUUAUAUUCGGCUAUAUAAAGCUGAUUGUAGCACUGUAAAAGGGGACGCACAUAAUCAAUAGAAAAAGAAAGAUUACAAAAAUGAAAUCAAAGUUCCAGAAAAGGUGAUUGAUAUUUCCUUUAAUUUUUUUCUUUUAAUUUUUUUCUCUAUGUUGUUUUGUAAAGAAUAAUAGAAAAAGGAAAGUGAGAGGACUUACCGAAGGUCCGUGGUCUCCUCGUCGGCUCAGAUUGCCGUCCUUGGCGGAGCCAUGGCAGAGGAACGGCGGAUACGGUGGCAACAUGAGGCUAGGGUCGAAACCCUAGCAGAGAAAAAGGAGCAACAACCUUUUUUUUUAAACAUAGGCUGCAAAUUUUUUUGUUAAGAAAGUUUUGUUAAAGUAAUAAUACAAUACGGGGCCGUUUUGAGCUAGGGUUUGCGCCAAAACGACGUCGUUUGACGGCCAUAACUUGCGCGACCCGACCUGCUCCUAGGGGAUCUGCGUGUUUUUAAGCUUUGGGAUAUUUAUCCCCCUUGUCCAUCCGCAUUUGCGAGGUGUUCCAAAUAAGUCCGAUUUGUUCUUUUAUUUUUUUUUAAAUUUCGCCUCGCAUUUUGUUUUUAUUUCAUUUUGGCCGAUAUUGCAGCGCUGCGUUUUGGAGGGCGGGAAUAUUUCCCAUUUGACCCUCAUGUUAUUCGCGCAUUAUACUUUGGCCCUUCAUUUUAUUUUAUUUUCGUUUUUUUCUUGUAAUUCUGUUUUGAUUCGAUAUAGUCCUCACUUGCCCAAUUAAAUUACUCAUGCUCAAUUUAUUAAUUUAAUUUAAUUAAUUAAUUAUUAUUCUAUUACUUUUAAAUUAUUUAAAUUUAAACUUAUGUUAUUUUAAUAUUGGAAUUUGAUAUUAAUUAAAUUUAUUGAGUACUAUCUUGUAUACCCUUGUGUAUAUUUAAAUUUAAUAUUAUACACAUUUUUAGAAAAAGGAGAAGUAUUCUAUUUGUUUUAUUCGUUUAUUUAUUUAGUCUCAAGUCAUUCUGAUUUCAAUUUGUUUUCGUAAAUUUGCUAUUUGUUUAUUCAUUUUAAAUCUUUUAUCAUAUAUUUAAAAAUUUAAAGUCGUUCUAUCUCCCAUUUAAUUUUUUUUAUUUUUUUUAUGUAUAUCCUUUUAACUAUUUUGUAUGUUAUUUUAAAUUUAUUUAUUUUAAAUUUUUUAUAUGUUGCUUUAAAAUUGUGAUGGAGGUUAUUUAUUUUAAAUUGCUGUGUAUAUUAUUCAUUUUAAUUUGUUUUGCAUAUUAUUUACUUUAAAAUUGUGUUAUAUAUUAUGUCGUUGCAUUUUCUUUGAUUGUUGAUAUUAACAUCAAGAUGAUAUGUGUAUAAAUUACUCAUUCAUAUUUUAUGUUGUCUUUAUUCAUCGAUGUACCUAUAGACUUAUGAAUUGUUUUCUAUAUUACCUUAAUUUUUACCCACAAGUUCGUAAAAUUUUCUUAAAAAAAAACAUUGUAAUAAGAUUUGCAAUACGUAGUAUUUGGAACGACAAGAAAUCGUGCCCUAACUUACGGGGUUUUGGUUUUCUUGUCAAACCACAACGACCAAAUAUUUUUAGAUUUCAAAACUUACGGAUUUUUAAUAGAAUUAAAGGCAAGCUAUAUGCUGUAUUUGGAACUUCGAAAAAUCAUACUCUAACUUGCAGGGUUUCGAUUUUCUCGCUGAACUAAGAUGGCCAAAUAUUUUUAGGUUUCAAAUACACGAAAAUUAAAGCUAGCUUAUUUUUGAGGAUUCAAAUGUCACAUCUUAACUUACGGGAUACGGCCUUUUGUCACCUUGGGACGAGAGAGCCUUUUAUACUCGUUCAGAUUUAUCCAAGUAUUGUUUUAAAAAAUAUAUAGCAUUAAUAAAAAGGGAUCGUAUUUUUAAUCCUUUCGAGUUUUCGACCUUCAACGUUAAGACAUUAAUUAAUCAAUUAGGUGCCAAUUUUGGGCGUUACGAGGAUGCUUACCCUUCCUCGUGCGUAAUCGACUCCCGAACCCGUUUUCUCAA
rnacentral:lncRNA from 1 species